AAGUGGAUUAGUGGCGCACGGGUGAGUAGUGGGGGCAUAGGUAACAUGCCCUUUAGUCUGGGAUAGCCACUGGAAACGGUGAUUAAUACUGGAUACUCCCUACGGGGGAAAGAUUUUUCGCUAAAGGAUUGGCCUAUGUCCUAUCAGCUUGUUGGUGAGGUAAUGGCUCACCAAGGCUAUGACGGGUAUCCGGCCUGAGAGGGUGAUCGGACACACUGGAACUGAGACACGGUCCAGACUCCUACGGGAGGCAGCAGUAGGGAAUAUUGCUCAAUGGGGGAAACCCUGAAGCAGCAACGCCGCGUGGAGGAUGAAAGGUUUUAAGGAUUGUAAACUCCUUUUGUAAGAGAAGAUU
rnacentral:rRNA from 1 species